CGACGACCGGCGCACGGGUGAGUAACGCGUAUGUAAUCUGCCUUGUACAGAGGGAUAGCCCAGAGAAAUUUGGAUUAAUACCUCAUAGUAUUACUGGAUCGCAUGAUUUGGUAAUUAAAGCUCCGGCGGUACAAGAUGAACAUGCGUGACAUUAGCUAGUUGGUAAGGUAACGGCUUACCAAGGCUACGAUGUCUAGGGGUUCUGAGAGGAUGAUCCCCCACACUGGUACUGAGACACGGACCAGACUCCUACGGGAGGCAGCAGUGAGGAAUAUUGGUCAAUGGACGCAAGUCUGAACCAGCCAUCCCGCGUGAAGGAUGACUGCCCUAUGGGUUGUAAACUUCUUUUAUAUGCAAAUAAACCUACUUUCGUGAAAGUAGCUGAAGGUACCAUAUGAAUAAACACCGGCUAACUCCGUGCCACCAGCCGCGGUAAUACGGAGGGU
rnacentral:rRNA from 1 species